GGGGUAAAUGAGUGGGUGCUGAGUUAGGGUAGCUUGGCUUAGGUGAUGGCAAGUGAUUGGUUAAUUGUAAAUUAGUGAAAGAAGCAGUGGAGGAAUCUCGGUUAAAGUGAACUUGUCGUGACAAGUCCACUUUAAGGCAAUUAUUGUCAAACUAUAAUUACUGUGGUUUAUGUUGUGGUGGAGUUCUGUAAUGCAAGCAUGCACAGAAAA